rnacentral:misc_RNA from 1 species
AGUUUUUAUUCUAAGAAUCUCAACGCAAAUUAAAUUAGCAAAUUAAUCUAAUUAUCAAAAUAUUUAACGAAAAUCUGGCAACAUCUUCCCUGUAACUGAGAGGUUUCCCUUGCUAAAAAUUAAUAGUUCACAAUAAGUAUAAACAUAGCCCAUCAAUGGGUGUCAGCCUAUGGAAAAUUUUUUUUUCAACACCGAGUCUCGCCCCUGCGUAAAAAACAGCUCUGCGCUAAGAGUGG